UAUGCUAAAGUCUACCCCUCCAUCACCUUGUUCCUCUCCUUCUCCUCUCCUUCUUCUUCUUCUUCUUUUUGUGUUAUUCUCCUUCUUCAUAUCAUAUGAUGUCUGUCUAAGGCGACACCAUCAAAGUUAGGGUUUGAUUACAAGUUCAAUUUUGCUUGUCCAUGGGUUUCUUCCACAAUUUGUCUUCCGAAUUUCUUAUCAGACCAUUAUUUGAUCGUGCCAAAUUCAUUCGCGGCAUUAGCAGAGUCAAUUGGCGAUUGGUAUUGUGGGUAAACGAUAUGUUACUGAUUAAGUAGUGUACUCCAGCAUUCUGAGAACCAAUUGGUGUUGUUUAUAGUGCAUAUUAGUUAAACUGCUAUGGGAAAUUGUGGUGUUCGGCUGUACUAUGAGGACUACAAGGUCCACAAAGACCAUAUUAGUUAAAUUGUAAUACUUUGGUACUGACGUACUCGCAGUUAUGCUCUAAUGUUCGAGCAUUGAUGGCAAUUUUCUUGAGUUUAUUUUUCGCAGUCUCAUCGAUGUCCCCUCUCCAUAGCGUAGCUGCCGUUCUGUUAUAGUCGUUGCAGUCAGGGAAAGCGCUCCCGGAGACUAGCACGGGUUGUCCCUACACACAGUGGUGAUGAUGAGGCUGCAUACGAAAGUGCUGAAAGAAGCCCAUUUAGCAGUCCAAAAUUACCUUGGGGAGCUGAACAAUACCCGGAUUAUAAUCGGACAUUCGAUACUACUCCAACACAGUAAGGAUAUGUGGCUGCCACCCUAUACUAUCUUUUCUUUCUCCAAACUUCUGAAGCAGUCCCGGGAAAAUUUCAAAGGCCCAAACCUACAACGCACACAGCUUCGAUUAUUAUAUUAGACAUAUAAUGCAUUACAUCAAGAAAAUUCAUCUUACCACCAGCACAUGCGGCAAUCCUUGAGACUUAAAAGUCGGUAGUCCUUCCUUCUUGUAAUUGUUGGUUUGAUAGACCAACGCAGACCUAAUUUUUGUAAUGGUCCUGUCGUACACUAAUUCCCCCCAAGGAUACUUGUUAAACUCUGUAAGGUUGUCGACAAGGUGCCAGAACUCAUCCUCGACAUUAGCAUCAUUUGCAUGCCCCAGAAGGAAGAAGUGGACAAAAUACAAUAAAGCCACUUUGACCCUUUCUUCACUAGAACAAUCAACCCUUUUCUCGGCUACUAUGACUUUGUUUUUACUUUCAAGUUUAACCUUUGUGUUUUUAGGUUCUUUCUUU